ensembl:lncRNA
AUGCCAGUGGUAAAGUCACAUCAGAGAAUAGAUUCCCCAUCCCCACUCCCCUUAAUUGUUUAUUUUUAUUUUAUCCAUAUCUUUACCUUUUUUGUUUUUUCAAUGCUGAAAUUGUACAAUUGCACUAACAAUGAUAAUAUAAUAAAUAUAAUAAUAAAAAUCAAGGGGGCAUACUGUACCCUAAUAGCACCAGAUAUUCUCGGAUCUUGGAAGCUAAGCUGGGUCAUCCUUGUUAGUAUUUGGAUGAGAGACACCAAAGAAUUACAGGUGCUGUGGGCUAUAUUUCAGAAGAAACCCCAGCUCUGAGUAUUCCUUGUCUAAGAAAAUAGCAUAAACAUUUAUGGGAUCACUGUAAGUCAGCAAGCAACUUGAAGUUGUGCAUAACACACAAUAUAGCAGGAUUCUGAGCUAAGAUUGGAAUGCUCAUAUUCAGCAUUAUGGUGGCUCCAAGUCUGGACAAAAGCAAAUAAAAUAUGCAUGGCUUAAAUCUUCAAUUUCUCCUCCUUUCUGUGUAACAUCGGAGAAUGCUCAGUCUCCAGAAUCUACUGCCAUCCUCAUUAACUCCGAUCUUCUAAGUUACUUUAGCAGCCCAUUGACUUUAAUAAGGCUCUGCCCGAUAUAAUUCAUGUUAAUUCCUCAUUAGCAUGUGCAUCAUUAUCAUAUUCAGUUAGGUCAAGGUGAGAGAAAUGUUACAAGAUGCGCACUAAAAUUCAUUGGUGCUAACCAAUUUUAAAGCCAUAAACUAAAUGACCAUUUUGAUAGCAUUUUGCACUCCAUGAAACACCUUCUUUCUGAACAUCUAAUCAUACAAUGCUAUUGUUAAUUGCAAUAUGCCUCAUCUCUGAUGGGUACAAGCAGAGCCGGUCCAACAAUGAGGCGAAUUAAGCGGUUGCUUGGGGUGCAAAACAUACGGGGGCGCAGUUGAGACUGCUUUUCCUGUUGAUUUCUUGUAAAACAUGAUGUUUUGGUGCUUAAUUUGUAAAAUCUUAAUGUAAUUUGAUGUUUAAUAGGCUUUUCCUUAAUCCCUCCUUAUUAUCCAACAUUUUUGCUUAUCCAAUGCUUUUUUUUUUUUAGUGAUUGGUUUGGGGGGGGGGCCAAAAUUCUGUUCGUCUACACUUGAAAAAUACCUAGGGCCGGCUCUGGGUACAAGCCUCCUCAUCGUUCUUGGUGCCAAUUUUGCAAUUUUUCCUUCAGUGGUGGGAAAACUAAGGGAGGGUCUCAUCCCCACCAGCCCCUCCCAUCAGGCCUGGUUCUACAUUUGGACCAUGAGAAAACCUAAAACAAGUCUGGGUCUUCUUGCAUUUGGAUUUUCCUAAUAAUUCCAUACUGAGCCGUACCCAUAUUAGUCUGCUGUAGUGAAGCAACAAAAUCCUGAAAGGGUAACACAUUUGUUAUAGCAUAAGCUUUUCUGGACUGUAGUUUACAUCAUCUGGAGCACAAUGCAGUCAUUCUGAGUCACAUACAAACACACAUACCAUAUAUACUCAAGUAUAAGCUGAGUUUUUCAGCCCUUUUUUAGUAUAAGCCCCUCAAUCUAUACUCGAGUGAGAGUCCUGGCUGGCUUAUACUCACGUAUAUAGGUAAUUAGAGUUGGACAGUCUUAUCUUAUUAAGUCUUAUUAUCUUAAAUUACAGUUUUAUGUAAAUAUUCAAAACCAUUUAACCUACUGAUGCCUCAAUUAAUGUAAUUUCAUCUAUUUUUAUUUUUGAAAUUUACUAGUAGCUGCUGCAUUUCCCGCCCUCAUCUUAUACUUGAGUCAAUAGGUUUUCCCAGUUUUUUUGUGGUAAAAUUAAGGAUUGGCUUAUACUCGAGUAUAUAUCGAACCAAGAGGAAUUAUCUGACCUCACAAUUUACAUUUCCCCCACUCCCAUACAUCUGCAACUCAGUAUAUUUCAAACAUCUAUCAGUCUUCAAGGCACUUUCUAAUUAUUCUUUCCUAUUAAAAUGGCUGCCCCCUAAGAGCAAUGUACCUGAUCUCAAAAGGAAGGGGGCAUUUAAAAAGGUUAAAUAUUGAAAGCUCAGGAGUAAACAAUUCAAAUUAGAAGGAAAACUGAGAGGUGUCUAAAGAAACCAGGGCAGACAUAUAAAGAAUUUUAAAAUGAGAUCAGAUUUAAAAGAGAGGUAUUAAAAAUGGCAGAAGGGGAAGAGGAAUACAGAUAAAUACCCAGCACUUUGGGCAGUGGGAGUCAGAAAAGCUAAAUCUCAUAAUGAGCUCGGGCUCAGUCAGGAGAAGUUAAGAACAAAAAGAAGAUCAAGGAAAUUAUACACCCACUACUUAGAGAGGAUUUUAAAAUGCUCACAGGACAGAAAAAGAAGACCAAACUACUCAAUACCUUCCUUGUCUCAGUCUUCUACAAAAAAGAAAAUAGUGUUUUAACUCAGAAAAAUAGAACAAAUGAUACAGUAAAAGACCUGAAACCCAGAAUACUUAAAGAAGUAGUAAAAGAAAUACCAGCUACCUAUCUACUCCAAAUGAAUUUACAGUAAGUCUCUAGGGCUGGAUGAACUGCAUCCAAUGAUACCGAAACGACUUGCAGAUAUAGUCUCAGAGUCACUAUCAAUAACCUUUGAAGAUUUUUGGAGAGCAAGGAGAGGUUCCCAGCAGAUUGGAAAAGGGCAAAGUUUGUUGCAUCUUCAAAAAAGACAAAAAUAAGGACACAAACAAAUUACCAACCAGUAAGCUGGACAUCAAUACUAUUUGUAUGCUGUGUGUGCACACAGGCAAUCUAUGCACACUCAGAAAGAAAUACUAUGAUUACAUUCAAAGUCAGGUUUAUCCAAAAAAAAGGUCAUGCUGGAAUAAUCUGUUUCUCUUUCUCUCUCCGUUUUUCUUUCUUUCUUUUUGAUAGAUAUGUGUUAACAUUCUGGAAAGUGCUGGGGGUAUAGUUUAUCUUGAUUCAGUAGGCUUUUGACAAGGCAAGCUGAUGUACUAUAGGCUGUGCUAUUGUUAGGUUACUUUCUAAUUGAUUGAUCAAAUAAACCCAGAGAAUACAUACUAGUGAUUGCGCUUCAACCUGGAGAAAAAUAACUAGUGAAGUUCUGUCCUGGGCCAAGUAUUGUUUAACAUUUUUAUAAAUGACUGAGACAAUGGAAUAUAUGUCUGCUUAGCAUCAGAAAGUUCCAGUCAGGAUAGGGGAGAGAUCUGUCCCUCCGUAGCAGCAGCUAUUCAUUAAUUGAUCCAGUAGUUCUACUCUAGUUGAAAUAAACCAAUAGGACUCAGACCAAGUGCAACAGUCCUCUCUUGCCAUUUUCCAGCAACUGAUAUUUAGAAAUUGCUUCUGAUUCUGGUGGUAGCAUGUAAUGUAAUGACUACUAGUUAUUCAUAACUUUAUCCUUUAACAUGAACAAAGUGGUAAAGUCAACUUCUGUGUCUUGCUUGUCCAGUUCAUUCUACUCCAUUUCUGCAUCACUAUGCAA